UACGUAGGGGCCUAGCGUUGUCCGGAUUUAUUGGGCGUAAAGAGCUCGUAGGCGGUUUGGUAAGUCGGGUGUGAAAUCUCCACGCUCAACGUGGAGGGGCCACCCGAUACUGCCAUGACUGGAGUCCGGUAGGGGAGUGUGGAAUUCCCGGUGUAGCGGUGAAAUGCGCAGAUAUCGGGAGGAACACCCGUGGCGAAGGCGGCUCUCUGGGACGGUACUGACGCUGAGACGCGAAAGCGUGGGGAGCGAACAGG
rnacentral:rRNA from 1 species